rnacentral:lncRNA from 1 species
AGCAAAAGGAAUUUCUCCAAAAACUUGGAGGUCCAACUACAAGAAGACAAGUAGUCUGAUACAAUAUGCUUUGUUACUUGUUACUUUUCAUUUUGAUUUUCUUUUUUGUGAUUUUUAGAUGGGGUACCAGAUAAAUCUUGAUUUGAAUCACUGCCUUUUCUUUGACUCUUGUUCUUUAUUUAUCCAGGAGACGAUCCCAAAUAAACAGGUAUGGAAGCUAUAAUUGUAAACCAAGAUCGAAUCUAUGGAAGCAUUGGUUUAUACAUUCCUUUUAGUCUCAACUCUAGGAAUAUUUUUUUUUCGCUAUCUUUUUUUCGAGACCCGCCUAAAGUUCCAACUAAAAAGGUGAAAUGAUUUGUCAUUAUCUCAACUUGACGGGUUCGAGCAAAUAGGCGUUGGGCCAUGUUGGACACAGAACCCGCACACUGCACACUAAGAGCCAGAGACUCCUUAACAUCCAACUCAUCAGACCGCCUGGAAAGUAGUCAGUUAUCUUUGGGAGUGACAAGGUUCCGAGCCAACACCGCAGCGGUCAUAUCAUUCUUCAUCACCGAAUCCCUAACGGUAAGAGGACCAGUAGGGGAUAUGAAGGAUGGGCGCCAUAUGUUGUCUAGAGAAGGCGGGACUGCCUCUUCACCAAGAUUCAAGUCAAAACGACAGUCGGAGGGUCCGGACAUUUUCAAAGUGUUGAAGAAAGAAAAGAUCGGACAAAUCAAGAUCUUAGAAGUGCAAAAAGGGAGUUUUCACAAGCGAAAAUUCAAGUGUGCUUUGAAACGAACUGCAUUCCUCUAUAAAAAAUCAACACUCGACGGGAUUUCAGAGAUCAAAGAGGCGAGCUCAGAAUUCGAAGAGGCCAUUCAAAAAUCGAAGAGGCAAGCUCAGAAAUCGGAGAAGCAUCUUGCUUUUCCAAACGCAUCAGCAUCCAUCACACGCAAACUCAGCUUUGCGGAAAUCACGGGUAAUUUGUCGAAGCUCCAAUCCCAGAUAUCGAAGAGACGCCAGUCUUUUCCAGACACGUCAGCACCUAUCGCACGCAAACUCGGCGUUGCAGAAAUCACGGGUAAUUUGUCGAAGCGCCGAUCCCAGUUAUCGAAGAGGCGCCAGUCCUUUUUUUCAGCCGCGUCAACACCUGUCACAUGCACACUCAGCUUGGCGGAAAUUACGGACAAUUUGUCGAAGAUUUCUGAUAAAGAAGAAAGCACGUGAAGCCAUACUGAUCAAUCACGCAUUGGUUGCCGACACGAGUGAAAGAAUAGUACCUCUACAGGUAUCAAAGAACUUCCUAUAACUGUCCACCUUCACCUUCCAUAGCAAGGCAAACAUACAGAGCCUUUCUUCAUCUCCAAAAAUGCUUUCCCAACGAAGCCUCUCGAGUCAUUCAAUGUUCCUUAUUCCUUGGGGUACCUCUACAAGCCAAUGACUCCAAAGCAAAAGUAUCUCAUAUCACCAGGGUAGAAAGCAAGAGUAUCUCAUAUCAUGCGUUCUCCCUGUCCUUUCCUUUGUCCUUGUUCUUACCUACAAAGACAAGGAUAAAGAAAACAAUAUGCCGGAACUUCCACUCAAACUCGGGUAAAGAACCGACUGCUUGGAACCCUUCCCUAAUUGCCUACCUAGCACUGCUCUCGAGUACUCGUCUCCCACUGCUGCUGUACUUCCAAAGAAGCUACCACAUCUGCCUGAAGAAUAGAUAAGGCAAGUGAAAAUGAUACCUUGCAGCAUGUGGAGACAACGUGCAGAAGGAACAAGCAGAGAAGAAUGCAGUCUGCACAGUCAACUCAGCAGAAGGAGUCCGAGCUGAAGAACUUGAGAAGCUGCCACAUCUGCCUGAAGAAACAAGCAGAGAAGAAUGCAGCAUGCACAGUCAACUCAGCAGAAAGAGUUUGAGAUGAAGAACUCGAGAAGAUGCCGCAUCUGCCUGAGGACGGUGAACUCGUUUUGACCCUCAAAUUCUUGGGUUGACUUACUAGGCGUUGUGGGCUGCACGUGCCGAUUCACCACCCUUGAAUCAAAUCCUUAAAUAUCAAGUCACCAACUGGAAGAAUAGCCCAUCAAUCUUGAAGAUCAUACCGUUGACCAAACUGCUCAGGUGUGAAUUGGAAAGAUUGAACAAAGCAACAAGUAGCCACGACUUCCCCUCGUGCCUGCUUGCCAUGUGUCGAGUCAACCUUCAAGAAUCAAGCCUCGACGACCCUUGAAGAAGUUUCCAGCCAAAUUCAAGAUCAAGCCUCGACGGCCCUGGAAGAAAUCACAAGUCCGAUUCAAGAUCAAGUGUCUACCACUCUUGAAUCAAAACCUAGUUCAAGAAUAAGCUGUGGAAAAUCAACAAUUAGAGGAAUCCAGAAAAUCCUCCAACCCAGUUCAAGAUCAAAGUUAUGGAAAGUCAACAAAGCACAAAAGAACAAAAACGUGCCGAUUCAUCCACUACCAAAGCCAAAGAUCAUCUACCACAUGAAGCUCCUUGUGGUCCAAUUUCAACCUUCAAGAUCAAGUCUCAACGGCCCUUGAAGAAAUUUCAAACAAAAAAAAUUCAAGAACAAGCCUCAACGGCCCUUGAAGAAAUCUCAAGCCCAAUUCAAGAUCAAGCCUCAACGGCCCUUGAAGAAAUCUCCAGCCCCAAUUCAAGAUCAAGCCUCGACGGCCCUUGGAUCGACGUCUACAGUAAGGGACUUCAAAACGCAUCUCCUACACGCGACAAGCACAUGUACACGACGCGUCUUGAAGUGGGGGCAUUUGUAGACAUUGAAAUUUCGGUAAAUAAAUGUUGACCGAUAAAUCAAAGUGUCAACGCUUAUGUAUUACAUAAAUUUUACACGUAGUGUGUGACUCAACGAAAAUUGAAAUGAGUUAGAAAAGUCAUCAAAUAGGACACAUGUCAACACCUGGCAGAAACGACUUAUUUCAUCUGGGAUAUUAUAUUCAAAAUUAGGCCUUGGAAAUUUCUAUAAAUAGAAGGCUAAUUCAUUCAUUUGGGAGGAACCAAAACCAAUUCAUAUUACACCUUGAAGCUCUGAAGCUCUGAAACUCCGAAGCUCUCAAGCAUCCAGGUUCCCGAAGAAUCAAGAAAGCUCUCUUCGUUGUUCGUUCUUCGUUCAUCCUAAGACCAAGCCCCAACGGCCCUUUGGAUCAACAAUCAUCCACCAAUUCAAGAUCAAGCCCCGAUGGCCCUUGAAGAAAGUGUUCUUCGUUCUUCGUUCAUCGCUCUUUCAAGAUCAAGCCCCGACGACCCUUGAAGAAAGCACCAUUGUUCAUCAUCCGUUCAUCCAAGAUCAAGCCCCAACGGCCCUUUGGAUCAACAACGUCGACAAAUCCACACACAUCCAACCGUUCUUCAAGAUUAAGCCCAAAAGCCCUUGAAGAUCUGUUCAUCACUGUUUCUUCAAGAUCAAGCCCAAAAGCCCUUGAAGAUCCGUUCAUCACCGUUACUCAAGAUCAAGCCCCAACGGCUCCUUGAAGAUCCGCUCAAAUCCACCUUCAAAGAUCAAGCCCACGACCCUUUGAAGAAAUUUCCAACAGUUCAUCCAAGAUCAAGCCUCAACGGCCCUUGGAUCAAUCGCACAUCCACCAAUCAACACCUUACGGAGAUCGAAUCAGAGGAUCAAAAUAGAGAGAGAUUGUAACCCAAAAUCAUCAAAUACAAAUAUUUGUUUGUGCACGUUAUUCUUGUCUCUUUCGUUUCAGGAAUUUUCCGUGUUCACAAUCAUCCCUAAUUACUAAUUUAGCAUGCGUAUCUUCUCAAUUUUAGAUUCUUUUUUAUGUGUACCAACCAUGCAUCCUCUCAAAUUUAGAUUCUUUUUUAUCUUCUCAAUUUGAAAUGAUUGUGAGCCCACCUGACAGGGCUUGCAAUUGCAAAGCAACAAGAAGUGAGACGAAUCCAUACAAAUCAAUAACUGAUCAUAUAUCAUCAAGUAGGAUCUUGAAAAUCCAGUCGUUUUAGGUAAAAAGCAUUCCACAUUACAGCAACUGGAGACCCACACACAUGAUCCUCCCCCCUCCUUCCCCAAAAGAUAAAAAAUAAGUUGGCCAAGGCUAGUGAGAAACAGUUAAAAGAAUGAAGAAUAUCAACCAGAAAAAACUCUCCAACCCUAUAUUGCUCUGUUCUUUCUUUUUCUCAAACACAAGUAGUACCACAGAAGGGACCUUUCCUCUGUUGGCUAUACACAUUUCCUACAGAUUCUACAAAUCCUUUCCGUGUGCGUCGUUAAGUGAGGUUUAUGACUUACAACACCACAUCCUUUCUGGUGAAAGUACAACCGAGAGUCGAGCGUGAUCAGAGAGAGUAUAAUCUUCGGGCCAUAUUCCCUUCUCCGCCUCACGGGGAUAUAGAACUGCAUUCUUCACAUUGAAUCCCAGGGAGUCCUGCAUGCCUCGUUUGGACUCCUCUCUACUACCGUUGAGACUUUCCUUAUCCUCUGACGCUGUUGAACUCCAAAUUCUAUUCUGCAAUGCCAAGGGUUUUAGACACGUGAUUUUAAUCUUGUAGUACUUUGGAAGGACUAUUACAUGACGGCAAUGCUAAUGUAAUUCAAAAGGAAAAUAAAUGAAAUUAUUAUGGAUGUAAUGUACCUUAAAUUCUUCGUAAUCAAGAACACCAUUUGCAUCGGCGUCUGCCUGGAUCCAGAGAUCCCUUGUCUCCUGGAAACCUAGUCCCGCAGGAUGACCAAUUAAAUUAACCUGCAAUAUACCUACAUGAGCAAGUCUUAUCUUUCCAUUUGAACUUUAUACAGCUUAAUAGCUAAUAGAACCAACCUGUUGUAGUGCUUCACAGAAAGCUGAGGACGUAAUAAAAUCACCAUGACUAUCACCCUUCAGAAAGGCAAAUGCAUCAUUUUCAGCCAUCGAAGCUUUUCGAAGCUGGCGCUGAAAACCCCAAAAGGAAAAAGGAAGUUAAAUGAUUGCAUGUAGAAACUGUCUAGAGCUUGCAUGCCCUAUAAUAUAAAGGAUCCAAGCAUCUUUUCAAAAGUUUUGAACAAAGCUUUCUGUGCACAAUAUAUCUGAUGAACUACGAUUCUUGCCCUCUGUGGCAAGGUAUCAGAUAGUAGGUAGAGAAAAUGUGAACGGAUGAGUAUUAAUGACAAUAAUAUAGAAUAUGUAAACCGAAUUGCUUACCCGUAAUAUUCAAAAACAGCUUCGCACCAACUAGUCUUUAGUGGUUUUCGUGACUUAUUGACGGCAACGAAAUGCAGCUGCCGCUGUAGCUUCUUGAAAGACUCUCACUUUCUCUGCGAUUAAUCUUUGCCACAUUAGAACCCGCACUUAAACCCUGCAACGACUCAAAAUUUUCAGUAUCCAUUAUCCAAUAAACGAUUUCCUAAGUACCCAUUUUCUCAGAAACCAAAUUCAUGGAAGAAAAGCAGAAGCAAUUGAGAGAAAGAAGAAAGAGACACUAUUUGUUAUAAGUUGAAAUUUUUCGUUGCAGAAAAAUAUAUACCCCACCGGGUGGCCGGGAACUCAUGACACUUACGUUGGGGGGCUUGUGCAUCACAUUUAAUGUGACAAAAAUGUAAAUAUUCAUAUGCUUAUAAAUAUCUUGGCCCACAAAUUGAGGCGUAAUCUUUUUAAGUAUCAAUUUUGAAUGGUAAUGCAGGUCUCCUUCAAACCAUUUUUGACCAAGCAAAAUUUUUGAGGCUGGUUGUGUGGGCUUUAAAGUUACGUAAUACAACCUUUGAACUAGGCUUGUAAACGGGUUGAGUUUAUCAGGUUUGGGUCGAGUUCAAUCUGACCCGUUAAGUUAACAGGUCAUCCAAACUCGACCCAUUAAGCUAAUGGAUCACCCGUUAACAAUUAUUAUUAUUAUUAUUUUACAUAGAGUUUAUUUUUUGUUGUUAAGAUUUUACUGAAAUUAUUAAAAUAUCCUCAACUAACGGGUUGACCCAAAGUGAUCCGUUAGUUAACGGGUUCACCUGUUAGCAACCCGACCCGUCAAGCAUCCACCCAAAUACUAAUAUUAACGGGUCGGGUACAAAAUGCCAGGUCUGCUGUGAACAAGACCCAUACAUUUUGCAUAUUCCGUUUAAAUAUUACGUAACACAACUUUAGAACAACAUUGGGGUGGUGGCGCAGUUGGCUUGCGCGUAGGUCUCAUAGCUUCUGGUGAUCCUGAGGGCGAGAGUUCAAGCCUUUCUCACCCCCAUUUCUUUUUAUCUUUUGCCAUUAUAGGAAAACAAAAACAUUUUAAAUUUCAACUUCUAACAACACGAACAUAGUCUAGUAUUAUUUAUCUUUCAUAAUUUUAAAUGAUAUCUCAAAAGUUCGAAUUUCCAUAUGAUUUUUUUAACAUCUCAACUUCUAACUUCUAACACUAUCAUGGUCUAACAGUAUUUAUCUUUUACAUUUUAAGAAAAUAUCUCAAGAGUUCGAAUCCCCGCUCCCCAAAUGAUUAAACAAAAAAAAAAUAUAUACCGUACUGAGAUUCCAGUACCAGCCAUAAAUCAUUACAUCUGAUCCGUAGAAACAGAAACAUGUCAAACUCCAUAGGCUAUGCCAAAUGUAAACAUUUCAUCACUGCAGAACAUGGCUGGUACUCCCACAUUUUAUAGCAAUAAGCAACCACUAAGUCUGGCAUUACUUUUUGUGUGACGCUCAUCUAGCACCACUGCCCGUAUAAACCUUCUUCCCAAGCAAAAACAAAGAACAAUAUCGCACCUAGAAGUAGAACCGUGUUGAAAAGGUAUACUGAUGGGGGACCUGUUAAUGGGGGGGAAGUUUCCCCGGAAAUGCAAGAACAGCUCAUCCAAUUGCCGGCGGUGGUUGCAUUGUGUGUCUGCUUCAAACCCUUUUCUGUAUUAUUGCCUUGAACCGCCUCUGCGUCUUUGUUAGAUUCUGUUAUAAAGUUCCUCUUCGGGGGGGAAAUCAACAGCAGCUCGACGCUCUGCAGCUACUUUGGCCUGCAAAAAUAAACCAGAUUAAGUUGUGGAAAUAGCCUCUCCAAAGAAACAUUAUUCAUGUUCUCCGUGCUGCAGUUUGGGUUCUCUCACUCACCUUGCUUUGCUGCUGUUCUAAUUCAUUAGGUUUGCCUAGUGCUAAGAGGGCACUUGUUGGAUAUGUUCUUCUGCGUGUUCUCUCACUGUUAUAGUAUUCGUCGGAGGCUAACUGAAUAGAGUUAAUCUGAAGGCUAACUGCAUCUACAUCCACAGAGGAAGCACUCUUUAAUUUUAAGGCAUUAAUGGGUCUUGAUGCACGUCGCAGCCUGCUUGUUAUUUGGUGUGUACCAGAAUCUUCAUCACUGAUUGAUUGAAGACGAUCAGUCUGAGGUUUAGGUAACACAUUGAUAGAGGAAGCAGCCUGUCCUAAGGUCUGGUUACGAAGCAUAACACCUUCCUCUCUUCCGAAGUGGCUCGAACUAGCUUGUGGCACACCAAGCAUUUGUAAACUCGGGCCCUAAAAAAUAAUAAUAAUCAGAAAAUAUGAGCAAGUUUCCAAAGUUGAGCGAAGUUCUAGCAUUUGACCUGUGGAAACCAUAACACAUUGACAAAAUUUGAUUUUAAGAUUCUAUGGGAGAAAGAUUUUUUACCUGUGCAGCUUGAUGUUGUACUUCUGUGUCUGAGUCACUGCUCACUCCACAAUCCGGUAAAUACACCUUCCUAGGUGACUGUGGCAGAGUGGAGUCGUUAAAGACGUUAUUGUGAGUUAUUUCUUCACUGUAACCCUGAUACGGGUCAUCCCCAAAAAGUCCAUUUACGAACUCUUCCAAAUUUUCAUCCAUUCCAUGGUAAUCAUUAUUACCACGCGUAUUUCCAAGCAUAAGAUCCAAUUCCCUCUGAAAAAUGUCCGGAUUUGGUGGUGGCUGAGUACGUUCCUGCAUAGUGAACAACAAGCAAGCAAAGGUUUUGGAUCUGUUUCUUUUGCUCCGAGUAUAUAUAUAUAUAUAUGAAGAAGUUUUAAUCACCAUUCGUGCUCGACAUUCUCACCUCUUCAACAUGCAUAUUACGUGCUGGUUGCAGUUGAUUUUCAAAGUCAGGUGCAUUGUUGUAAUUACUAGAUUCGCCUUCAUCACCGGUUGCAACAUCCGUGUUCUUACCUGAUUUCUUCUUUACGUAACAGAGAACGAAAUCCCUCUGCAAAUAAGUUGGAAAACCAGUUAUGUAAUGAAGUAGCACCAACAGAAAAUUAAACAAGGUUCCAAACCAAAAGCCACUAAACUUUGCAGAGUUACAGAAGAAGCCAAUUUGGCUAGAAGCCGAAUAGACUUGAGUUUCACAACCAAAACCCCUCCAGCCUCCGGUUUACAACUUGCCUCAUACAAUGCUGCAAAUUGCACAUCAUAUAUCGAUAACAAUAUUAACAAGAACCUGAAAAUAGAAAGAGAAUGAUGACCUGAUUAGCAUUAGGAGUGAUUUGAGGGAUGGAAAACUCAUGCAUGACCCAGUUGGUAAUUGGGGCAUUACGACCGCGACCUUGGCGAAAUGUCAGAAUCCUCUUUUUACCGAUAAUUUUGUUGUCUCGAGCCUUGACUAUUUUUUCCUUCCCGGUGCUCUUCCAGAAGCCUGUGGCCGUCGCCCUUUCAACUUCGUUUCUGCUGUUUUUUUUGUAAAUUGGUCGGUUGUAGAAGUACCAUUCAUCAUCCGACUUUAUCAGUGAAAUCUCUGCAUAAAACACAACAUUUGGAUUAAACCAAUUGCAUACACAUUUUUAGACUCAUUCAAAUGCAAACUAAAAUGUAUCAGUAAAAGUGAAGAGUGUUGAGUGCUGAAAUCUCUGACCUUCGUAAAACGGUCACUCGAGAUAAAAAAAUAGUAACUUUAUGAACUGGGAUUGGUAAUAAGUUACGUUUGGAUUAAACCCAAAUACCAAUGGCAAAUACAGAUUAUCAGACUCAUCGGACUAAGAAAAAUAAUGAAAAUUUAAGACCUGGGGCUUUGCAAAUAAUUACCAGGCAAUUCCCUGGGCUCGUAGUUGCAGAUAUUGAUUUCACGGAUGGCGUCGCUGACGAGGGAAUCCUUUCCCCGGAGCUUCAACUUCAAGUAAUGGCUGAUCAGCUCUUCUUCUGUGGGGUGGAAUCGGUAUCCCACUGGCAGUAACAGGCCUUCUACUUCUACUCUAGUGAAGCGGAUUCCAUUGGAAGCCAUCCUCUUUCAUGAAGGAGAAGGGGAAUGCUGGCUGGGUUUUUGUAGGAUUAAGAAAACAAGAGAAACAGUACGGAAAUUGACUUGGUGUUGAUCAAGUCUUCGUGGUUUUCAGCGGACGCUUUUUGCUUAUGGAAGUAACUAUUAAGCUUCGGCUUCUGCUUUUACAUGGUGCGGUGGGGAAUUUUUGUUGUCGUGACUUUUGGUGGGACCCCGGGGAAUCCUACGUGUGGAACUGUUUGCCGUAUGUAUGGCUGGGUGGGUGUGCUUCCUCGGAGAGGACUGAAAAGCUACAGGGAUCAUGAGAAAAUUUUGUAUCCCCUUUUGUCAAUCCAAGAUUAAAUGAGGGUAGGUGUAGGAUAAAGAGUCGAUAAGGUAGAACGAGAAAGUCUAAUUGAGAAAAUCGGUAGCAUUCUCAUGGAGUUAUUUCCAAUUAAAAUAGAUCUCCAUAUAUUGUCACUGUAGACAUCGAAAUUUCGGUAAAUAAAUGUUGACCGAUAAAUCAAAGUGUCAACGCUCAUGUAUUACAUAAAUUUUACACGUAGCGUGUGACUCAAUGAAAAUUGAAAUGAGUUGGAAAAGUCAUCAAAUAGGACACGUGUCAACACCUGGCAGAAACGACUUAUUUCAUCUGGGAUAUUAUAUUCAAAAUUAGGCAUUGGAAAUUUCUAUAAAUAGAAGGCUAAUUCAUUCAUAAGGGGGACCAAUUCAGAUUACACAUUGAAGCUCUGAAGCUCUGAAACUCCGAAGCUCUCAAGCAUCCAGGUUCCCGAAGAAUCAAGAAAGCCUUCUUCGUUCUUCGUUCAUCGCUCUUUCAAGAUCAAGCCCCGACGGCCCUUGAAGAAAGCACCAUCGUUCAUCAUCCGUUCAUCCAAGAUCAAGCCCUAACGGCCAUUUGGAUCAACAAACGUCGACAAAUCCACACAUCCAACCGUUCUUCAAGAUCAAGCCCAAAAGCCCUUGAAGAUCCGUUCAUCACUGUUCUUCAAAGAUCAAACCCAAACACCCUUGAAGAUCCGCUCAUCACCGUUAUUCAAGAUCAAGCCUCAAACGGCCCUUGAAGAAACAUUCAUCCUCAAGAUCAAGCCCCAACGGCUCCUUGAAGAUCCGCUCAAAUCCAACUUCAAAGAUUAAGCCCACGGCCCUUUGAAGAAACUUCCAACUGUUCAUCCAAGAUCAAGCCUCGACGCCCCUUGGAUCAACAAAAUAUCCACAAAUCAACACCUUACGGAGAUCGAAUCAGAGGAUCAAAUUUGAGAGAGAUUGUAACCCAAAAUCAUCAAAUACAAAUAUUUGUUUGUGCGCGUUGUUCUUGUCUCUUUCGUUUCAGGAAUUUUCCGUGUUCACAAAUUGGCACGCCCAGUGGGACAAUCUCUACCUCUCAUCUCUUCCUCCGUUCAAGGAAUAUAAGUACACUUCCAAAAUCAAUGACAUCAAGGAAGGCUCAAGCUGUUCCCAUAACCGGCGCAAAGAACAAAGGCACCCUCGUCGCAAGUGUGUGUCACGUUGGGUAUCACGACUCGAAGCAUGGCAAAAGCUACUUCUGCCGCCUCUUUCACCUCUGCAUCAACUCUGCCAAGGGAACAAAAACACCCAAGGCACGAGCCUUUGAUCACCUUAGCCUCACUAAGGGCACCAAGGGGGGAAAGCCCAAGGAAAUACUCUGAAUCCAUGCUCUCCGAUGCCGAUUCAAGCGACAGUUCAGCCAUGCAAGUCAUGACCAUUGGAGCAACUUCAAUCGAUGAGCAGCUAGCUCAAAUGAAUGAAGCAAUCGCAAGGCUAACCCGAACUGUGGAAGAAAAAGACUUGCAAAUUGCAGCAUUAGUCAACCGACUGGAGGCGCAGGAUGGCGAUAAACCCGACCCAGAGGAUGAUCCACUAAAGGGAGGAGCUGGCGGAGACGAAGAACCCCCAGUGAAGAAAAUCGAUGGGAAGCCGGAGCCAGACCAAGCAGCGGCACUCAUGGGAUCUCUUUCUAUCCAGCAGCUGCAGGAGAUGAUCACCAACACCAUCAAGGCACAGUACGAAGGGAGCUCACAUACCUCCUUGUUCUACUCGAAACCCUAUUCCAAGAAGAUUGAUGCCCUAAGGAUGCCAAGGGGUUAUCAACCACCAAAGUUCAUGCAGUUUGAUGGAAAAGGAAACCCAAAGCAGCACGUUGCACAUUUCGUCGAAACUUGCAACAACGCGGGGACGGAGGGAGACUACCUCGCCAAGCAGUUUGUGCGCUCGCUGAAAGGAAACGUCUUUGAGUGGUACACAGACCUAGAACCUGAGACCAUCAACAGUUGGGAGCAAUUAGAGCGGGAAUUCCUCAACCGCUUCUAUAGCACCCGCCGCACUGUGAGCAUGCUAGAGCUAACAAGCACAAAGCAGUGGAAGGACGAACCAGUCAUUGACUACAUCAACAGAUGGCGCACUCUAAGCCUCGACUGCAAAGACAGGCUCUCGGAAACCUCUUCAAUCGAGAUGUGCAUCCAAGGCAUGCAAUGGGGUUUGCAAUACAUCCUUCAAGGCAUUAAACCACGGACCUUCGAGGAAUUGGCCACCCGCGCCCAUGACAUGGAGUUGAGCAUCGCUCAUCAUGGGAAGAAGGAACCGAUCGCCGACUACAAGAACGACAAAGUUCUUGAGACAAAGGUGGAGAAGGCUGCAUGGAAACCCACCAAGGAAGCAAUGACGGUCAACACAGCUCCCGUCAAGAUCUCCACACGAGGCAAGGCGAUUCAAACCGAAGCUUUUCGUGAUCAAGAGAUGCGUAGACGUACUUUGAAGGAGCUUUAGGAGAAGACUUAUCCAUUCCCCGACUCUGAUGUGGUUGCCAUGUUAGAAGACUUGCUGGAAAAGAAGGUGAUCGGCUUGCCUGAGUACAGACGGCCAGAAGAGAUGAAUCGCACCGACAGUCCAAGGUACUGUAAAUUCCACCGCUUCAUCAGUCAUCCGACAGAAAAGUGCUUCGUGCUGAAAGAUCUCAUCAUGAAGCUGGCUCAAAAAGGAAUCAUCGAGCUAGAUCUUGACGAUGUGGUGGAGUCAAACUAUACCACCUCCACUUUUGGCUCUUCCGACUCAAAGUUUUCACCUCAACCGCUGGGGGCAUCCUCCAAGACAAGCAAAGUUGAAGGAUGGACUCAAGUCACUCCUAAGAAAUUGCACAAGAAGCAUACGUCUCCUCCACAUGUCCGCCAAUUGGAAAGGGGGCAAAGCAGCUCUUGUCAACCUUCAAAGCAACAUGAACGUGUUGAAGAUGAUGAAAUUUUGACACAUAGAUCGUCCAUCCCCAUCACGAUGCGCAAUUUCUUUCCUGAAGACUUCUUCAAUCACUCGGUCAAGGCUCCUUGUUAUGAAGAUUGCGAGGAACGACUCUCUCAGAUCGCUUGACGAACUAAUGCUCCUUGUUCGCACGAGCCUAAACUGCAUGAACCAAAGCUCCUUGUUCGCACGAGCCUAAACUGCACGAACCAACGCUCCUAGUCUGCACGAGCAUAAAAGGCAACACCAACGCUCCUUGUCUGCAUGAGCAUAAAAGGCAACACCAACGCUCCUUGUCCGCACGAGCUUAAAAGGCGACAACAAUUGCUCCUUGCCUGCAUGAGUUGAAACUGCAAAUGGCACCAAAAAGAAAAUACAAAAAAAUAUCUAUGUAUUUGAACUACGUUUACGACCUAAUCUCUUCUUUGGAGGGGUACAUAGGAGGCUUGAAUAUUCAAAAUUUGAGUUCAGUCACACCAAAAUAAGGAAUAAAGAUUUUAUUAAAAGUUUGAUGCUAUUACAAUUUUCUUUGUACAAAAAAAAAAAAAUAAGAGAGAAAAAGAGAUACAUGUUUUAUGUAUUUACAAAAAAAAAAAAAAUAUGUUUUUGUAUUAAAAAAAAAAUAUAUAUAUAUAUAUAUAUAAAGGGCCUCAAAAGAAGCCCCUGUCCAAAACCAGAUCAAAUUAGGCCCAGCUCCCGUAGCCUACUAUCUGCCAAAAUUCUUCAAAGCUCCCAAGCCACUCCCACCUCCUCACGGGCCCAACUCAGCACUCGGCUCUUCAAACCCAGAAGACAUCAAGAAGGGCAGUCUUGUGGUGGUUCUGGUGCACCCAUACUCCGUCCUUGGCGGCUGCGAAGGCCUGUUGAGAGGAAUAGCAGCUGGGGUGGCAGACAGAGGUGCCCCAAUUGCAGGCUCCGCAGUAGAUCAGAUAGAACAAGUCGUGGAGCAUAGUGGCUCGUGAAGCACCAAAAAACAUACAACGACAUCGGGGAGGAGGAGAGGAGGUUCGAGAUCUUAAGGACAACUUGAAGUUCAUCGACGAGUAUAACGCACUGGACCAUCCGUACAAGGUCGGUCUGAAUGCUUUCGCUGACCUGAUCAACCAGGAGUACCGUGCCAAGUUUUUGGGCACCAGGAGUGACCCUAAGCGCAGGGUCAUGAAAACCAAGAACCCGAGCCUGAGGUACGCUUUUCGCGCCGGCGAGACGUUGCCGGAAUCUGUGGAUUAGAGACUCAAGGGUGCCGUCAAUCCCAUAAAAAAUCAAGGAGGUUGCGGGAGUUGCUGGGCUUUUUCAACAGUGGCAGCAGUGGAGGGCAUAAACCAAAUAGUGACUGAAGAAUUGGUGUCUCUCUCUCAGAGCAAGAGCUCGUCGACUGUGACACGUCCUACAACGCCGGAUGCAAUGGCGGUCUCAUGGACUACGCCUUCGAGUUCAUUAUCCUAAACGGCGGCAUUGACACUGAAUCCGACUACCCUUAUCAAAGCCCAAAGGAAUCAUCACCUCCGGAGCCCAAAUCUAUGAAAAGGAGCAGCCCAAAAAACCCUUCUUUCCCAAAGCUCUCCAUCAGAGCCUCCUCCUCCGACUCCAACCCGGCGAACCCAACUCCUUUGGCCACUUCACUGCCUCCAUCAGACAUCAAAUUGUGGUCGUCUACUGCCGUUUCUUCCAGAGGGUUCGACAUGCCGGUGAGUCUUUGUCUGUUUACACAAUGAAGGAACUACAGAAAUCCAACUGGAAGAGCAUCUGGAUCCAGAUUCGAAACCGCCAAAGCACGGAAUCAAAAGCAAUGGAGAUUUCCCGCAGGAGAACGGGGGGCACUGCAAUUAAUCUUCACUCAUUCCUUCCACCGUCGCUCGACUCGGACGCCAUUGCAGACACCAUAAAGUCCUUUUUUUCCCAACAAUUGCGGAGAAGACGAUCACUUUCCCUGGUUCGGGGUGGAGUGCUCGGAUGGAAAAGUGGUCAUCCUGAAUUUAAGAGAUAUUUUCGUCUUAGUAGAACGUUGGCCCAUGAUUUAGGAUUUCUUGGUUCCAUAUCUCCUGAACUCCACCAAUUGAAGAUGCUUUUGGAAUGCCAGGUAGAUCAGGAUCAACGACUGACAGUUGCCGCUUUCUGAACGAGCAGAUCUAUCAGCUGGAAGCUCAGGAGGCUCAGUCUCUGAUGCCAAACCAAGUGCCUCUUCCUCUGGAGCGUCAACUGCCAAGGUAUCGACUGACAAGUACCAAAAUUCUGCUGUUGUAGCUGGUGUUAUAACUACUACUGCUUCUCUCGGUUGGUCUCCCAAAGCUAGUCGAAAGAAGGAAGAAGUGCAAGACUGAGGUUGUGACUUGGGUUGGUGCUGCAGGAUCCAUGCUUUCCAUCUUCUCCAUCCUCAUCCUCCUUCAAUCCAGAUACAUAAUGUUGCAAGGCCCCUUCCCAUUUUUGUUGCCAAUAAUGUCACUAGUUUUACGCUUGUGCUUGAGUUCAACAAGAGCAAGCUGCAGAACUUGUACUAAAAAAGGGAUGGGUGCUCCAAAUGUUCAGGAAGCUCCACCGCAAAAAAAAAAAAAAAAAAAAAAAAAAAAAAAAAAAAAAAUAUCUCUGCACAUCCGUGGUGGUCCCUGCCAAGCUCAGCCUGCUCUCCGCCAUCACCUUCUCCGACUGCAUUGCGCAAACCUCCAGCGAGUCGAACAUGGUCCAGUAGUAGUGCAGCGCCUUCGUAAACCGGUCCAAAAAGUUGGGUUUUGUUAUGGUCUGCUUCCUGCUCCACUAACCACCCCUCGUACGUCAACAUCACUUCAUCGUCGGUCCUCCAGCUGCCUGACGACUUGCUGUGCUCGGUGGCUGGCCUCAAUGACAGUGCAAGGAUGACAGGCAGUGCAAUGGUGUGCAGCAGGCAGUGCAAUGGUGCAGCGACGGCGGUGCAGCAAGGACAGCAGAACGUGAGCAACCCGGUUCGAUACAUCUUCUUCUUCCUCUCUACCGUCGGUUUGGUUGAAAGUUAUGGCCCUUCUACUAUGCGAUGAAGUGGGAGAAGGCAGCAAUUCUUUUAUAAAGCCACAAGAGGCAAAGUGGAAUACCCGUGCUUUCCACUUUGCUUCUCCGUCGAAGAAUCAUUCUUCUGGGUUCUCAAGAAUAAAAAAUAAAAAAAAUAAAAAAUAAAAAGAAAGAAAAAGAUAAAUAUAUAAAAAGAGUGAUGGUGCAUCUGGCACCAUGUGAAAGAAAAGAAAGAAAAAAAUAUAUAAAAAGAGUGAUGGUGCAUCUGGCACCAUGAGAAAGAAAGAAGAGAAAUAAAAAAAAAUAUAUAUAAAGAGGAAUGGUGCAUCUGGCACCACGUGAAAAAAAAAGAGGGAAUGGUGGAUCACACCAUGUGAAAAAAUAGAGGGAAUGGUGCAUCUGGCACCAAACAAAAAAAAAAAAAAAAAAAAAGAGAGGGAAUGGUGGAUCAGUCCACGUGAAAAUAUAUAUAUAAUAUAUGUAUAUAUACAUAAAAAAUAUAUAAAAAAUAUAAAAAAAAACAAAAACAAAACAAAUGCAUUGAGAGAAAUAAAAUCUAUUUUUAUUUAUUUCUCUGGAAAAAUUACAUAAAAUUGCAUUCUACAAAAAAAAAAAAAAAAAAAUACAAAUGUGCAAGCAGCAAACAUAAGGGGCCUUCAUUGAUCAGAUGGCGCCUUAUCACUCGGUGGAACUCCGGGAAGAAGAGGAGCCGGAGGUUGAUCAUUUGGAACUUCACUACGCGGUACAGCCCCAGAAGACGAAGGCAAAUGUUGUUGGAACAAACCCACAAACCUCUGAUGAUCAAGUAAAAUCUGACCAUCAGAUUCCUGCAUCUGGUCAAUCUUCCUCUUCAUGUUUGUCGCAUAGCUAUGUGCGAGCUUAUGCAACUGUUUAUUCUCCUGCUUGAGCCCUCUAAUCUCCUGUUUGAGACUCAUCACUUCAGCCGCCAAUGAUUCAACUUGACGGGUUCGAGCAAAUAGGCGUUGGGCCAUAUUAGACACAGAACCUGCACACUGCACACUGAGAGCCAGAGAAUCCUUAACAGCCAACUCAUCAGACCGUUUGGAAAGUAGUCUGUUAUCUCUGGGAGUGACAAGGUUCCGGGCCACCACCGCAGCGGUCAUAUCAUUCUUCACCACUGAAUCCCCAACGGUAAGAGGACCAGUGGGAGAUAUGAAGGAUGGGCGCCAUAUGUUAUCUGGAGAAGAAGGGACUGCCUCUUCACCAAGAUUCAAGUCAAAACGACGAUCGGAGGGGCCAGACAUUUUCAAAGGUGUUAAAGAAAGAAGAGAUCGGACAAAUCAAGCUCUUAGAAGUACAAGAGGGGAGUUUUCACAAGCGAAAAUUCAAGUGUGCUUUGAAACGAACUGCAUGCCUCUAUAAAAAAUCAGCACUCGACGGGAUUUCAGAGAUCGAAGAGGCGAGCUCAGAAUUCGAAGAGGCCAUUCAAAAAUCGAAGAGGCAAGCUCAGAAAUCGGAGAAGCAUCUUGCUUUUCCAGACGCGUCGGCACCCGUCACACGCAAACUCAGCUUUGCGAAAAUCACGGGCAAUUUGUCGAAGCGCCGAUCCCAGAUAUCGAAGAGGCGCCAGUCUUUUUCAGCCACGUCAACACCCAUCACACGCAAACUCAGCUUUGCGGAAAUCACGGAUAAUUUGUCGAAGCGCCGAUCCCAGUUAUCGAAGAGGCGCCAGUCUUUUUCAGCCGCGUCAACACCUGUCACAUGCACACUCAGCUUGGCGGAAAUUACGGACAAUUUGUCGAAGAUUUCUGAUAAAGAAGGAAGCACGUGAAGCCAUAUAGAUCAAUCACGCAUUGGUUGCCGACACGAGUGAAAGAAUAGUACCUCUACAGGUAUCAAAGAACUUCCUAUAAUUGUCUACCUUCGCCUUCCAUAACAAGGGAGACAUACAGAGUCUUUCUUCAUCUCCAAAGAUGCUUUCUCAACGAAGCCUCUCGAGUCAUUCAGUGUUCCUUAUUCCUUGGGGUACCUCUGCAAGCCAAUGACUCCAAAGCAAAAUUAUCUCAUAUCACCAGGGUAGAAAGCAAGAGUAUCUCAUAUCAUGUGUUCUCCCUGUCAUUUCCUUUGUCCUUGUUCUUACCUACAAAGACAAGGAUAAAGAAAACAAUAUGCCGGAACUUCCACUCAAACUCGGGUAAGGAACCGACUGCUUGGAACCCUUCCCUGAUUGCCUACCUAGCACUGCUCUCGAGUACUCGUUUCCCACUGCUGUUGUACUUCCAAAGAAGCUACCACAUCUGCCUGAAGAACAGAUAAGGCAAGUGAAAAUGAUACCUUGCAGCAUGUGGAGACAAGGUGCAGAAGGAACAAGCAGAGAAGAAUGCGGUCUGCACAGUCAACUCAGCAGAAGGAGUCCAAACUGAGGAACUCGAGAAGCUGCCACAUCUGCCUGAAGAAACAAGCAGAGAAGAAUGCAGCAUGCACAGUCAACUCAGCAGAAAGAGUCUGAGAUGAAGAACUCGAGAAGAUGCCGCAUCUGCCUGAGACGGUGAACUUGUUUUGACCCUCAAAUUCUUGGGUCGACUUACUAGGCGUUGUGGGCUGCAUGUGCCGAUUCACCACCCUUGAAUCAAAUCCUUAAAGACCAAGUCACCAAUUGGAAGAGGAGCCCAUCAAUCUCGAAGAUCAUACCGUUGACCAAACUACUCAGGUGUGAAUUAGAAAGAUUGAACAAAGCAACAAGUCGUCACCUUCACCUCGUGCCUGCUUGCCGUGUGUUCGAGUCAGCCUUCAAGAAUCAAGCCUCAACGGCCCUUGAAGAAGCUUCCAGCCAAAUUCAAAAUCAAGCCUCGACGGCCCUGGAAGAAAUCACAAGUCCGAUUCAAGAUUAAGUGUCUACCACCCUUGAAUCAAAACCUAGUUCAAGAAUAAGCUGUGGAAAAUCAACAAUUGGAGGAAUCUAGAAAAUCCUUCAACCCAGUUCAAGAUCAAAGUCGUGGAAAGUCAACAAAGCGCAACAAAAUAUGUGCCGAUUCACCCACUACCAAAGCCAAAGAUCAUCUACCACAUGAAGUUCCUUGUGGUUCAAUUUCAACCUUCAAAAUCAAGCCUCGACGGCCCUUGAAGAAAUUUCAAACAACAAUUCAAGAUCAAGCCUCAACGGCCCUUGAAUCGACAUCUACAGUAAGGGACUUCAAAACGCAUCUCCUACAUGUGACAAGCACAUGUAUACGACGCGCCUUGAAGUGGGGGCAUUUGUAGACAUCGAAAUUUCGGUAAAUAAAUGUUGACCGAUAAAUCAAAGUGUCAACGCUCAUGUAUUACAUAAAUUUUACACGUAGCAUGUGACUCAAUGAAAAUUGAAAUGAGUUGGAAAAGUCAUCAAAUAGGACACGUGUCAACACCUGGCAGAAACGACUUAUUUCAUCUGGGAUAUUAUAUUCAAAAUUAGGCAUUGGAAAUUUAUAAAUAGAAGGCUAAUUCAUUCAUAAGGGGGACCAAUUCAGAUUACACAUUGAAGCUCUGAAGCUCUGAAACUCUGAAGCUCUCAAGCAUCCAGGUUCCCGAAGAAUCAAGAAAGCCUUCUUCGUUCUUCGUUCAUUGCUCUUUCAAGAUCAAGCCCCGACGGCCCUUGAAGAAAGCACCAUCGUUCAUCAUCCGUUCAUCCAAGAUCAAGCCCCAACGGCCCUUUGGAUCAACAAACGUCGACAAAUCCACACAUCCAACCGUUCUUCAAGAUCAAGCCCAAAAGCCCUUGAAGAUCCGUUCAUCACUGUUCUUCAAAGAUCAAACCCAAACACCCUUGAAGAUCCGCUCAUCACCGUUAUUCAAGAUCAAGCCUCAAACGGCCCUUGAAGAAACAUUCAUCCUCAAGAUCAAGCCCCAACGGCUCCUUGAAGAUCCGCUCAAAUCCAACUUCAAAGAUUAAGCCCACGGCCCUUUGAAGAAACUUCCAACUGUUCAUCCAAGAUCAAGCCUCGACGCCCCUUGGAUCAACAAAAUAUCCACAAAUCAACACCUUACGGAGAUCGAAUCAGAGGAUCAAAUUUGAGAGAGAUUGUAACCCAAAAUCAUCAAAUACAAAUAUUUGUUUGUGCGCGUUGUUCUUGUCUCUUUCGUUUCAGGAAUUUUCCGUGUUCACAGUCACUUCUCAUAUUUAUUUAUGAAAAUUUUGUGUUUGCUUAAGAAAUACUAGAUACAUAACUUUAGAGAGUAUUUCUUAAGGUAUAAGUUGUUGGAAAUUCUUUGGUUGUAACAUGAGAUUCGUCUCAAUAUAUUUAUCUCACUAAUUACUUAAUUCACUUAAGCAUGGUUACUCUUACUUGCAAUAAUCUUUCUAAUAGUUUAGCUUGAUUUAGUUUAUAGAUUCCAAAACAAAUUGCGAGUCUCAAGAAGUUGUUUUAGGACGGUAGUAAACGAGAGAUUUGUUAAUGUGUGUUUAAAAUACAAAAUGAAUAUAACAUAUCAUUAUACUAUUAGAGAAACACUUGAAAUAGAUUUUGUCUCAUCAAAAGACAUAAGAUGAAUCACUCGUUAAUAAAAAUAACAACGAUUGACGAGGCUACCCUUUGAUUUGAUUGUGUGAGUCCACCGUUUCCUCUCAUCCCAUGUCCCUUGUAAUAAAGGUUUUCUUGUUGAUCAAGUACUUGUUUGAACUUGGAGCAAAUGUUUCCACUUCUUGGGUAGAGAUUAUGACUACCUCAGUUUCUUGUUGAUCAAGUACUUCUUUGAGCAAUGUUCCAUCGACUGGCAGAACCAAUCUAUAAAAGCAUAGAACUUGUAGCUAAUGGGGCCGUAGCUCAUGAUUACUUUGUGACUUCAUCUCUCAUUCCAAUGCUACAACUUACAACCAGGUAAAUAUUGUUUGAUAAACCCCAUGAUCAAAAUUUUGUUCCAAUAGAAUCGCUAAAUGAGCAGACAAUUGUUUACGCAUGAUUCUUUUAGACGCAUUAAAAUAAGAGGUGUGCUAUCCACACCUCAUUUUAUUUCUCAUACCCCUCUUGAUAAUUUCUGUCCUUUGAUCUUCUUUAAUUUAUCCAAUCCGACGGCUGAAAAUUAAAAAUAUGUGUGAGAAGUAAAAUGGGGUGUGUGGAUAUCACACCCCUAAAAUAAUAUAUAAGUUGUUUUAGGCUUAACAUUUGAGACUUGAAAAGCCCACCAAAGGAUGAGAAAAUCAAGACAUAGGGCCUCCAAGCCAGCAAAAGGAAUUUAGAUAAUAGAGUGCCACCACGAGAAAGAAAGACAACUGCCUUCAACAACUGCAUGUAGCCCCGUCUACCAACAAGAAGAGAGGUGCAUAGAACUUAAAGCACUUUCUGACCGCUCAAGCCAGUUGGCAGGCUUGACAAUUUUCUAGCAUGGAGCUUCAUGACAGGUACGUCCAGACGUCAACUUCGAACCAUGUGUUGGCCAUCGACGAGAAAAGAAAUAUAUGAAGAAAUAUAAAUGUUGUCAAGCUUAGCGCUCAGUCCUUAAUUCUCGUCUAGUUUGUUCACAAAAAACAAAAGGACGAGAUAAAAACGGAUGUGUAGAAAUCAUCCCUAAUUACUAAUUUAGCAUGCUUAUCUUCUCAAUUUUAGAUUCUUUUUUAUGUGUACCAACCAUGUAUCUUCUCAAAUUUAGAUUCUGUUUUUAUCUUCUCAAUUUGGAAUGAUUGUGAGCCCACUUGACAGGGCUUGCAAUUGCAAAGCAACAAGAAGUGAGACGAAUCCAUACAAAUCAAUAACUGAUCAUAUAUCAUCAAGUAGGAUCUUGAAAAUCCAGUCGUUUUAGGUAAAAAGCAUUCCACAUUACAGCAACUGGAGACCCACACACAUGAUCCUCCCCCCUCCUUCCUCAAAAGAUAAAAAAUAAUUUGGCCAAGGCUAGUGAGAAACAGUUAAAAGAAUGAAGAAUAUCAACCAGAAAAUACUUUCCAACCCUAUAUUUGCUCUGUUCUUUCUUUUUCUCAAACACAAGUAGUACCACAGAAGGGACCUUUCCUCUGUUGGCUAUACACAUUUCCUACAGAUUCUACAAAUCCUUUCCGUGUGCGUCGUUAAGUGAGGUUUAUGACUUACAACACCACAUCCUUUCUGGUGAAAGUACAACCGAGAGUCGAGCGUGAUCGGAGAGAGUAUAAUCUUCGGGCCAUAUUCCCUUCUCCACCUCACGGGGAUAUAGAACUGCAUUCUUCACAUUGAAUCCCAGGGAGUCCUGCAUGCCUCGUUUGGACUCCUCUCUACUACCGUUGAGACUUUCCUUAUCCUCUGACGCUGUUGAACUCCAAAUUCUAUUCUGCAAUGCCAAGGGUUUUAGACACGUGAUUUUAAUCUUGUAGUACUUUGGAAGGACUAUUACAUGACGGCAAUGCUAAUGUAAUUUCAAAAGGAAAAUAAACGAAAUUAUUAUGGAUGUAAUGUACCUUAAAUUCUUCGUAAUCAAGAACACCAUUUGCAUCGGCGUCUGCCUGGAUCCAGAGAUCCCUUGUCUCCUGGAAACCUAGUCCCGCAGGAUGACCAAUUAAAUUAACCUGCAAUAUACCUAUAUGAGCAAGUCUGAUCUUUCCAUUUGAACUUUAUACAGCUUAAUAGCUAAUAGAACCAACCUGUUGUAGUGCUUCACAGAAAGCUGAGGACGUAAUAAAAUCACCAUGACUAUCACCCUUCAGAAAGGCAAAUGCAUUUUCAGCCAUCGAAGCUUUUCGAAGCUGGCGCUGAAAACCCCAAAAGGAAAAAGGAAGUUAUAGGAUUGCAUGUAGAAACUGUCUAGAGCUUGCAUGCCCUAUAAUAUAAAGGAUCCAAGCAUCUUUUCAAAAGUUUUGAACAAAGCUUUCUGUGCACAAUAUAUCUGAUGAACUACGAUUCUUGCCCUCUGUGGCAAGGUAUCAGAUAGUAGGUAGAGAAAAAUUGAACGGAUGAGUAUUAAUGACAAUAAUAUAGAAUACGUAAACCAAAUUGCUUACCCGUAAUAUUCCAAAAACAGCUUCGCACCAACUAGUCUUGAGUGGUUUUCGUGACUUAUUGGGAUUACAAAGCCAAAUGAAGUCAACACCGCAGAUGUUUCCCCUAUGAUUGCGGUGGCUAACCCACUAUAGGAUAGAAAAUACAAAUAUUCCGUUAAUAAAGAUGAUGAGCAUUGUAUAGAUGGGCCCUGUGGCAGCCAGUAAAUCACUGAUUUCAGAAUUGAAAUCCAGAAAACACCAACCUUGUGAGCAUCCGCAUCGGUAUAUUGAUGAGCAGUAUCAUAUGUUGAUUCAAAACCCUGUGAUCUAAGGAAUUUGUACACAUGGCCUUGCUUACUUCCAUUCCAGUCACUGCAUCGAGAAUAACAAAAAAAGAAAUACAAAUAUAAGAACUACCAUCCUACACAAAAGAAUACAACCAGAGAAAGCCUACCAUUUAUUAAAAUUCCAUUGUUUGUGAAGGCGGCCUUCAAAAGGAUUUACCAGUUAGGAUAGCUAGCACCUUCAAAAGGCAGGAGACUCACCCACAGAGUACGAUAGGCAUCGGGUUUAGCAUCUUUUCAUUCUGAUAUGACUCCACAAAUUGCAAAAUUUUGUAAACCUAUUAAAAAAUUUCCAGAAAUGGGUUAGAGUGAUUGCUAGUGGAGCUUGUUCAAAUAAGUUGACAAUUAUUUGCCAAAGUUGAUAACUUGUUUGGAAACUCUGAAUACCUGAUGCAAUCGUACUAUAGAGAGACUGGAAUCAUGAGGAAACAACAAAUGAGUAUUCACAAUUAGCAUUUCUUGUUGAACGUUUCCUCUCUGGUUUUGUGAAAAUGGGGUAGCUAACUGAACAUGUAAUAGCUGAGCAACACGGUCUCCAAAAUCAUUAAAAUGCAACUCUCGGUAGUUUCGAACACUAAAACAGUCCCUCCUCACAGCAGUCAGCAAACCUGUAUAGAGAAAAUACAAUAAGUCAAGCCAUAGAGCAUGGAAUAGACUUAAAAGGCUCAUUUUAAUCAUGACAACACUCGCAAAACAAGAAAUGAGUUGAUAUCAAACUUGAGGACCAUUCUAAGACACAACCUCUUUGGAAACGCUAGCCGAUAUAUGAAGAACUAGUGGAAGAACUCUACAAUAACUUAGACUGCUAAAUUGUACUGGGAAAAGAUAAAAAAGAAAGGCCAAUUCAACUGCAAAGUGUUGUGACAAAGCACUCCAAUGCAUGAAACAUGAACCCAUGUGUGCAGAAUAAUGUACAUUCUUUUCUCAGAACUUUCAAGUUGUUCAGCAUCUGACUUAUAUUGCAGUUGUGAACUUGGAAUUAACAUAUGAAUGUGAGUUUAAAAAACCGCACAUUUUUCCCAUGAAGCAAUGCAAUAAUGAGAUUUAACUAAACUCGAAUGAUGCCAGAUAAGUCUAAUGUGCAAUGCAAUAAUGAGAUUUAACUAAACUCGAAUCCAGAUAAGUCUAAUGUAUUAAAAUCGAUAUUAAGGGGAAUAGAUUCAAGAUAGCAAUAUACCAUCUCCCCGGUUGUUAGUUCGGGCGAGCUUAAAGGUAGUAUAGCCUGCUUCACCAAGCCUGUCCAGGUACAUAUUCACAAAUUCUUCAUUUCCAACCCAGAACUCCUAAUAUUGCAAAAAAUGGGUUAGUGUCAGCACAUAAGCACAUAUAGUUGGAAAGGACCAUGACCCUUAAAACCUCAUACAAGUGCAAUUUGUUCUCAUAUACAACAAGGGGUAUUUCGUUUGAGGUCCAAAAAAGCAAAAGGGUAAUCAAAUAUCACCUGCAGACAAAUAAUGGCAGAUGAUUCACAGAGCAACCAAUCCAAAAUCCUCUGGUUCCUGGCCACCCAAAACGCCCCGUAGUCGCUCUCUCUAAGGCUUUGAUUCUGUUUCACACACACCACAAAGAAACUGAGAAAACAAACUCAGAUAAACUAAGUCCGUUUGAUAACCACUUCGUUUUGAGAGUACAAACGGCUCUAAAAACGAAAUAGUUAUCAAACAAAGUGACUCUAAAAACGAAAUAAUUAUCAAAUCACAGACAAACGCAAAUGGGAUAGAAUAGGACCUGUUGAUCGAGUCUUUUGUAGAUUGGAGCCAAAAUAUUGAAAGUCGUGCACGAGACUAAGCAAGGCCCUGCCAAAGUCUCUGGCUUUGGCUCUGCUAUCGACGGCAACGAAAUGCAGCCGCCGCUGUAGCUCCUUGAAAGACUCUCACUUUCUCUGCGAUUAAUCUUUGCCACAUUAGAACCCGCCCCUAAACCCUGCAAAGUCUCAAAAUUUUCAGUACCCAUUAUCCAAUAAACGAUUUCCUGAGUACCCAUUUUCUCAGAAACCAAAUCCAUGGAAGAAAAACAGAAGGAAUCUAGAAAGAGAAAGAAGAGAGAGAUACCAUGCUAAAAAUCCUUGCCACUGUAACUGUUUCUGAUACAAAAGUUGCUAAAUUUCGAGUAGUUCUGAUUAACAAGAUGAAACGAGUGAUGGGUUUGCUUCCAAUUUUGCAAUAACUUUCAAGUUAUUAGAAGUUGUGGAGAUUGAAGAGCAAUGUGGUUGGAUUUUUUGAUGAACUGCGUUACUUAUAGCAAAAUGCGGGCAUGAAAAAUAAAGGUUGGAACUUUAAUUUUGUCGUCCGCGUUGGAAGAUAGAAGUGAAAGGAAUUGGAAGCUUGUGUGGUGGGGACCAUACCGAAGGUUCUGCUUCUAUCUUAACCAAGAAUAUUGAGGCUGUCCAGCUAGACCUUGUGCUGUAAUUGCAAUCUUAAAAUAUGAAGGAAUUGAAGAAGAUCCUUCUGACCCAUUAACCUGGACCGUUGAAUUUUAAUUCAACGGUUACAAUUAUUAUAAAUGUCUUCCUCAAUCUUCUCACUUUAAAUAAUCAAAUCAACCAUUUGGCAAUUGCAAUUUGCAAGCGUGUGUCCUACUCCUACUCCAACUAGCAUAAAGUGGCACAGAUUCUUACAAUUUUAGAUGCAACUGUGACGGUGUAAACCAAAUUCAAUAGCAAUUCCACUUAGAAAAUGAUUUUUGCACAUUCAUAUUCUUUUUUAUGUACGAAUAAUUGUAUUUUUCUGUUAGAUUUUUUAAGGUGUGUGAGGAAAUUAAUUUUCUUUAGUUUAUGUCAUCUUGUAAUGAUUUGAGCAUUAGGGUUAAUCAUUAAGUGCAAUUUGAGUUCAACCACCUAUACAUUAUAUGUUUCACUUGCAUCACAGACCAAAAUUAGCCUCCGAAUUUUGUGGCUUGAAACCUAGCGCUGCAACUACCACUGAGUAGUCCAGUAGUUGGUGACGAAUUCCAGGCCUGUAUUUCACACGGCACAUCCUAAGUUCGAUUCCUAUCGCUAGUGAAUCGCACAAUGAUGAUCAAGAGGAGGUUGAAAUGCCCAUAUGAGUCUUCUCGAAUCCCGAAAGGGUAAACUGCCAUUACGAAGCUACCAGGUAUCCUUUUGGUAAAAACAAAAAAAAAAAAAAAACAACCCUAGCACUGCUCUUUGACACAUCAGCAAAUCCAUGUUAGGCCCUAAUUUAUCCACAUUACGCCCUGUGUAUCUUUUGGUAAAAAACAAAAACAAAAAAAAGCCCUAGCGCUGCUCUUUGAUACAUCAGCGAAUCCACGUUAGGCCCUAAUUUAUCCACGUUACGACCUGUGUAUCAAUAUGGCUCACCCUGUCAAUUGUUUUUUUUUAUGCUCACUUUAAACAUGAUUAUCAUGAAAGCAAGACAUUAAUACCUUAAAAACAAAAAUAAGAAGUCAAGUAAAGUGGUAUAGCUUACCCUUAAAAUAAAAUUUCCUGAAUCUACCAUUAGUCACGCAAUUUAAUUUCAACUUUCUUUCAACCUUGAUGGGUAAGAAUUUAUUAAAUAAACCCAAAAUAGUACUAUGUCACAUGAAAUGAACCCAAACACGGGGCCGAAAGAAAAAAGAGAAAUAAUGAUUUGUCACAAAAAUCUUGUACCGAAAGCCGAAACAUGUGUACGUACUGGACUACUACUAGUUGCACCUUAAACGCGCAAAAAACAUGACAAGACACCGCGUCGGUGACGUCUGUGCAUUUGUCGGUCCAUCAUCAUUGAUAACCCUUUUAUUUUUAUUUUUCUUUUAUUUUUCAUUUUUCUUGGGAGGGGACGUUUUAUAUUUUAGGGUUUUGUUAAACCACUUGGAUUAUUAUCCUGCUUGGAUGUCAUUCUCAUCUCCUUCUAUUUGUGCGGUAUCAGUUAAGUCACGUCAAUAUUUUAUAUUAAUUUUUUUUAUAAAGAUAAUAAGACAAAAAAUAAUAAGAAUAUAAAAUGUUGACAUGACUUAAUCGUAACCGCACAAAUAGAAAGAGAUGGGAAUGACAUCCAAACAGAAGUGCAGACAAUCUGCCUCCUAUAUACUCCCCAACCCUAAGCCAGGUGUCUCAAAGUGCAUUACAUUACAAAAAAAAAAUUAUUUUGAAAUAUAGGGUCAAAACUAAUAAUUAGUGGUAUGUUUGAUUAUUUCUGUAUUUACAAUAAUGUUAUUGUAAACUAAUUUAUCCACAAGAUAAUAGUAUUAUAUGGAACAAUUUCCUGAGAAAAUAGUAUUGCGAAAACAAUAUAAUAAAAUUGCAAUGGAUGUGUUUAAGGUAACAGUCAUCCAAUUAACGUCUAGGCGUUUAUAAAACUAAAAAAGCACCUAUAUUGCUUAGGUCAUAACUUUUAUUUAAACAAAAAAUAGAUAACUUUCAUUUUAUAUUUUAUUUUAUCGAAAAACUGUAAGUGACUUGUUGAAUACUUAGAUGAACACUCAUUAUAUCAUUAUUCCCCAUGUUUUAUAUGUUUAAUACUUUAUAUCUAUAUGUCACUUUAUUUUACAAUUUAUGAAUUCCAUACAAUUAUGUAUUUGUUAAAGUUUUAAGUAGACAUUUAUUUAUGUUAUAUAAUAAAUUUAGCUGAAACUGAAAAAAAAUCGCAUAAAUCCUUCUAGACAUCUAGGUACUAGACCUCCUCCAAGUUCCCGACUAACGGUUUUUUAAAGUUUAAGCAACCUUGCUUACUACUUCUUUAGAGGAAUAUUUUUGCUUUAAAACAAUAAUUUCAAAUUUCAAUGGGCAGUUCGAGUAAAUCGAUAUUUUCAACUAUAAAGUCAGGUUAAACCGUUCAAGUCUUCAAGAAAACGUCUAUAUAUCACUUUCAUCAUAUUUACUUACUGUAAAUAUGAUUGCACACGGACUGGCUACUUUAUGAGGCCGAAAGAAAAAAGAGAAAUAAUGAUUUGUCAAAAAAAAUCUUGUACCGAAAGACGAAGCAUGCGUAAGUACUGGACUACUACUUAUUGCACCUUAAACAUGAGUACCUAACAGUUAUGAUCAAGGUCUGAAAUGCCGAUAUUAUCGACGAUAUUUCGCUGAUAAUAUCGAUUUUUUGAGUUACCGAUAUUUUAAUACUUAUCCACUGAGUUUUCGUCAAAAUAUCGCGAUAUUAUCGACAAAUGAACUCGGCGGCCUCCUUGUGCUCGGCGCCGGUCUUGAACUUGGCAAGAUAACGGUGGUAAUCGCCCUUCAUCUUGAGAUAAAAGACCUUGGAAUCGCCGCCGAUGGCGGAGGGGAUGAGCCUGGAGUCGAGGAGCUUGAGAAUGUUGUUGCAGAUGUUGGAGAGCUAGGUCUCGAUCUUGGAUUGGUAGUCACGGAUCGUGGCAAUGUGGUCGUCGUUGUCGCGACUCUCCUCCUUUUGCUCGAUGGAGGAGAUGAUGCGCCAGGAGGCACGGCAGGCACCGAUGACGUUCUUGUAGGCGACGGAGAGGAGGUUGCGCUCCUCGACGGUGAGCUCCUCUUUAUAGGCGGAGGCGGAGACCUUCUCGACGAACUCAACCAUCUCCUCGUAACGCCCGGCUUGCUCAGCCAACUUGGCCAUGUAGACAUUCUCUUCGCGAGGGGAGGGGGUGGUUGCCGCCAUUGUUGUUAGGGUUCGGAGGUCGAUGGAGGGGUUGGAUCUGGAGAUCUGAAAAGGAUUGUGUGAUUUUUGGUAGGGGAAGGAGAGGAGAGAGGUUUGAGGUUCGAGGGGAAAUGGGGGUGUUAUUUUUGGGAGUAGUGGAGCGAUAAUUGCGUUGGGAGGAGGGGAGAUGUGGGCCGUUGGAUUUGUACCGGCCUUGUUCCCCAAUUGGAUGGUGUGGAAGUAGCAGCUGGCAAAGCACCUUUUUUUUGUUAAAUUUUAAUUUUUUUUUUUUUUUUUUUUUAUAAAUCCUUGUGGUAAUAAUAAAUAUCGAUAUUAUCGGCGAUUCGUUUUUGUGAGAGGACGAUAUUUUCACACUUAUCCACUUAAUUACGCGAGAUGAAACCCAAAAAUACUUGAAAAAUGCUGAAAAGUCUCAAUCUUGCGCAUAAAGGGAUUCGAACCCCUCCCUUCGUAUAAAGUGUAAAAUAUUGUACUAAUUCAUUAUAUAUAAAUGAUUAUGGUGUGUUAAACUUCUUUCAUUAAUUACUACAUAUUUUCUACAAUCACAAUGUUUGCUAGCUCGCUAUAUAAUCAACUUAAAUCAGUUAAAUCCAUCAUGCAAUGCAUUUCCUUCCAAUUUUUUUGUGAUAAACUAAUAGAUAAUUGACUAAAUAAACAUCGUGCAAAGUUUCAAUAAAAAUUUCCAAGUUUUUCUUACAAUUUCCGUGGUUUCCAUAUUAUUUUUAUCGAUAUCGAUAAUAUCCCGAUAUUUCCAUCGAUAUUUCCGUGUUUUUGGACUACCGAUAUUUCCGAUAUCAUCGAUAUUUUAUACCUUGGUUAUGAUCAUACUUCUUUUUUUUAUGGGGUAUAAUAUCCACACACCUAUUUUUACUUCUCACACAUCCUUUUAAUUUUCGGUCGUCGGAUUGAAUGAAUUGAAGAAAAUUAACGGAUAUAAAUUAACAAAUGAUGUGUGAGAAGUAAAAAGGGUGUGUGGAUAGCACACCCCUUUUUUAUAAGAGUUAUGAUCAUACUUUUAUAUAGUUUACUAAUUUUCCUAAUAAUGUCAUUCAUUGGUUAAAACUUGUCAUCAAUAAGUUAAAAAUCCCUCGAAGGUCUUUCUUUAUACUUUGUUUGUAGUCACAAAUAUCAAUUUCAUGUGAAAAUUCCAAUAAGAAAAUUAUUUUAAAAAUGCAGGGAGAUAGGGUAAGGGGAAGAUUUUUUCUGUGUCUUCCGUAGGAAUGAGGUGGUCUGGUAUUCUGAUCUUAGAAUUUUUUGCAUUAGAGAUGCUCUAAGAGCACCUCCACCCCAAAAAAUCAAGGUUGGAGCCUGCGGGUAGGUGCACUCAGCCAUUCAACAAGAAAUCAGGGUUCGGGCCCCCGGGUAGGUGCACUUAUUAGCCAUUUUGAAGUGAUGUGGCUCUUCCUGAGCUGUUGGAUUUCCAUCGGCUAUAUUUCUAGGACAUUGGAUUUUCAAUGGUAAAAAAAGUUUGAAAUCCAACCCCAACGUCUAGAUGACGUGUAAACUUUUGGACUGUUUCGAUCAAUGGUCUAGAUUUUUUGGCCUAAAAAAAUCUGAAAAUUUUCAAUUGUUAAUAAUACGUGUCACAAUCUAGGCUGUUCGAUUACAAUUCUUUUGUAAUCCAACCGUCCAUACUAAUUAAAUUAUUAAAAAUAUAUAUUAAAAAAAAAGUUUACACUUUUUACCUGUAAAUACCUAAACAUUCUCUUCCACCUUACACCAUAUUCAAUAUUUUCAAAUACUUUCAACUAAUCUCAAAGUUUUCAUAUGCUUUUGUUUGCAAAAAAAUGGCUAAUGAUGCAAGUUUGAAUUGGUCAAUCAUUGAAUAUGUUACGUUAUGUGAAUGUUGAGGUCAAGCUACUCAUGAUCUGAUUAUGGGGCAUGAGCAGAAGUUGUGAGAACUUUGGAAGAUUGUUUGUACCUUGUUUUAUGAGAAGUUGGGUGCUAGAAAAACAAAUCAAGCUCUUCAAAGUUGGUGGAAAAUGCUCAACCAAUCGUUCACUAGUUGAAGAAACAUCCUCGCUAAAGCUUGUUAUAAUCUUCAAAGUGGCAAAAAUUCAUUAGAUUAGUUGACAAUAUUGUAUUUAUUUAUUUGUAUUACCCCCAAAUUGACAUUAAUUAGUUUGAAUACAACUUAUUUUCUCCCUUUUUUAUAGGCACUUCAAACACAAGCUUGGUACAAUAUGGCCAACAAGAACUAGGGAUGUCAAUUCUAACUGUUAAACCAGAUAACCAUGGAUAACCACUCAAAUGGAACAAAUUUGGGUAUGAAAAUUCGAGUAUAUUUUGGAUAUGGGAAAAAACCGUGAAUACUAUUUGGUUAUGGUUUUGGAUGGUUAUAGAGGUCCCAAUCCGUAUCAGUACCUGAAUCCAACCCGAAUAACAUAUAAUAUAGUAGUAUAAUUUUGUAUAUAUGUGUGUGUGCAUGUUCAUUAUUCACCGAAUCUGUUAUCUUGACAAUACAAAAGUUGUAUUGUGUGAGUUGCAAUUUGUAGGAAAGUUCAAAAGUUUUGAAUUAAAAUCAAUGAGAAUACAAUGAUGCUUAUGAGAGAUAUUAAAGAUCAGCCAACAUUAUCAAUAUUUUAAAUUCAAUCUUUUAAUUUUUAUACUCCACAAGAUCCAUUCAUUAAAUCAUUUUAUAUAUCAAAUGUUUAAUAUCUACUAAAUUAUAAUGCGUUAAUUAAACGAAUAUAUGUUUUGUAUUGACGAAGAUGGAUAUAACCGUUAACCUAUGAGAAUCCGAUACUUGGUGGGUAUGGUUAUGGAUAACCCUCGAUGGUUAAUUCACAAUUAUGGAUGUAGUUAAUUUUCGUGGUUAUAGGGAUGGUAUAUAUUUUCGUUCCCCAAACCGAACCGUUGCCAUCCCUAGCAAGAAUAAAUCAUUCAACCACUAUGAAUGUAGGAAUGUUGUCAAAGAUUGUCCCAAAUACAAAAGUAUGUCAAUCGGUACAAAAGUUAUCAUGAACGACACCCCUCCACACUCUACGCCAGGAGAAGACUCGCCUGUUUAGGAAGGUGACACAUUUGAAGUGUCAGAAUCGACCAGUGAAGAAGUGCCGGAACAAACCUGUCAUUCGCUUAGGCCUCAAGGUAAGAAGGCUGUAAAGAAAAAAAAGGAGAUUGUGAUUAUACAAAAUAUAUGGAAGAACUUAAUCUCGGCAAGGUGAAGUGAGUUUGGCAUGGUAUGUGGCCAGAAUUGAGGCUAAAGCUAUCGCUACUAAGAGACAAAAGAGCUACUUAGGCUAAAAAGAGAGAUGCUUAGAGAAGAAAGAAGGGGAGAAAGAUUGUGAAAUUAUGAACAAGCCUAUAGAACGAAUGUCUUCGAAUUCUAAAUAUUUUUGGAAAACGGAAAAAACGACGUAAUGCGGAUGAGGCGUGCAAGAGAAGAGGGACAAAGUGGAGAUGGUCUCGAGCACCACAAAUUCAUUAGGUGAUUUGUAGGGAAUUUGUUGUAAAAUCGGAGCCCAUUAUUUACUGUUCACUUUGGGUUGUAAUUCGGUAUUUAUCCAAUUUGGUAUGUUAUUAAAACUAAGAAAAUCGUUAAAAAAUCCUAUCCGAAAUUUAGGAAUACAAUAAUCUUUUAUUAUUUUAUAAAAAAAUUAUUCUAAACCAAUAGCAUGCUAUUCAGUUUAAGGAUGAAGAUGCACUUGGACAGUUACAGUUCACUAAACACAGUAAGGCCAUCUCCAACCGAAGGGUCCAGAGGGCCAGAGGGCCGAAAAUAGCCCUAAAACCGUCUCCAACCGAGGGCUAGGCCAGAGGGCUCUGGAAUUUGGGAGGACCCCACGGGAUCGGAGAGGGCUGGAGGGCUGGCUGCUUUCGGCCAGCCAGCCAGCCCCGGGCUGGCUCUUUUUUUUGUUAAUGUUUUGUUAUUCCUGUCGGUUAUAACCGACAGGAAUACAUGCUAUUAUUUAAUAUAAUAAAUAAUGGUGUAUUCCUGUCGGUUAUAACCAACAGGAUUGUUUUAAAAAAAAUUCAAAUGAAACGGCUACUAGCCAUUGCAUUUGAUUUGUUUUUUUUUUUUUACAUUAUUAUUAUUCUUUUUUAUUUACAACAUUUUUCAUAUAACUUCUAUUUUUUCCUAUAACUUCUAUUUCACAAAAUUUGGUUUUUUUUAAAUUCCAUUUUUUUUCCUAUAACUUCUAUUUCACAACUUCUAUUUCACAAAAUUUGUUUCAUAUUUUUUUUUCCUAUAACUUCUAUUUCACAAAAUUUACUUCAUAUUGUUUUUUAAAUUCCAUUUUUUUCCUAUAACUUCUAUUUCACAAAAUUUGUUUCAUAUUUUUUUUAAAUUCCAUUUUUUUUCCUAUAACUUCUAUUUGACAAAAUUUGUUUCAUAUUUUUUUUAAAUUCUAUUUUUUUCCUAUAACUUCCUAAGCCAUUAUACAACAUUAAAUUAAAUUAAGUAACAUGAAACAACAUUAAACAAUAUGAAACAACAUUAAAUAAAAUUAACCAACAUAAAAAUUAUACAACAUGAAACUUAAACAACAUUUUAGUUGUGGUUUUUAAAUAAUAAAUUAUGUAUGGCCCUCGGUUGGAGACGGUUUUUUGUGAUAGGGCUAAAACGAGCCCUCUGGCCCUCUGGCCCUCGGUUGGAGACGGAGGCAAAUAUGACCCUGUACUGUUCAUUAAAAUAUUAAUAUCUUGGAGAAUCUUGGAGGGCCAGAGGGCUAAAACGAGCCCUCUGGCCAGCCUUCGGUUGGAGAUGGCCUAAUUACCUUGCUCAAUAGCCUUAACAGUAAUCGCUUGGGCCAUUUGAUAGGGGUAAAGGUGCUCUAAGGAUUACCUUAUUUAUUGUGUUGAAAAACAAAAUCCAAUAUAAGGAAAUACGUCUACUUUUAACAAAGAACAAAAAUCCAACAACAAAAAAAGAAAAUGAAUAAAAAAGAAUAAUUCAAAUGUCAUCAAUAAUUUAUUGUGGCCAGUGGCCAUUGUCUGAGAAACUGUGGUCACUUAUUGUAGCAUCGUUCGAUCUUAAUUUACGGUAGGUGAUCAUGUAACUUUUAUGUUUUGUAUUUUUUCCUAUAUCGUUGAAUUAAGAUCAAAUGGUACUUAAAACGAGAUUCUAUAAGUAUAAUCCAAAAUUUGCAACAUUUCACCACUCAUAUAAUACCUUAGCUUCUUCAACUAUUUCAAAGCCGCAUUCGUCAGCAUUAGGGAUGGGCAAAUACCCAUUGGUUAUGGGUAACCGUGGUUAUCUGCUUAUUUAAAUUUGACGGUUAUGGUUAUGGGUAACCGUUUAGAUAAAUAAACAGUUAUGGGUAUAACCGUUUACCCGUGAAAUUUAAAUGGGCAAUUAUGUGUAUUAUCUGUGGAGUACCCAUUUAACCAUUUAUUUUAAUAUAUGUAAAACUUAAAAAAAAAAAUUAGUUUCUAGCUAAGUUUAGUAUCCCGAAACAUAUUUGGCUAUAAAGGGCCAUAAUAUAUAUGCCUCACUUGAGAGAAAAAAAUAGUUAAUAGAACAGGCCAAUGUUUAAUAUAUGUGAUUGAAUGUGCUAAAGCAUUAGAGUAUUCGACAGUUUUGUUUUGGAGUCUUUUGGAGCUUUGGCCAAUUCAAGAUAAUGAUUACUUUGAGUUUUUAGAAACACGUCAUUGUCGGCUGAUGUGUACCUAUAUAUAUGUGUGUGAGUAUAUAUUUAAUUGGCCUCGGGUUUUCAAUAAGUAUUUGACCCAAAAUUUAGAAAUCAAUUAAAUGGCUUGGAUCUAUGAACAUAUGUUUCUAAAUAAAAAUCCAAAUAUUUAUCAAAUUAGCUUAUUAGCAGACUGAUGCGUACUUACAUAUAUAUAUAUAUAUAUAUAUAUAUAUGUAUGUAUGUAUACAAGAAUAUUAAUUAACCUACAACCAUGCAUGAUUCUUGUAAUAGAUUGACUGUCAAAUAAUUGGGAGACAUCACAUAUAUUCAUAAAUAAUAUUGCCGUUAAUACAAAAAUUCAUGUUAAAUGUAUUUAUAACGGUAUUUAAUUGUUAGAAAAAGAAAAUUAUGCAAAUUUCUUUUUAAUUUUCAAGUUGUUAAAAAAAUAGGUAGACGGGUGAAAAAAAAAAAGAGUAAACGGGUUUAAAAUGGGUAAACUGGUAAGCGGUUAUGGGUAAAUGGGUAUGCGGUUAUGGGUAUGGUAAACCGUUUAUAAACGGUUAUGGCUAUGGGUAUACCCGUUUAUGUAAAUACCCAACGGGUAAACGGUUAUGCGGGUAAAAACUUUAACGGUUAUAGGUAAAUAACCGCGAUUACCCGCCCGCCAUAACCGUUGUCCAUCCCUAGUCAGCAUCUUAACCAUUACUCACCCUCUUUUUCUCUAUCUUAUUUUAUAGACUCGGCUGGGGUUCAAAUUCCACCUUUAUGUUUUUAAAAACCUCUUUGCUUAGAACAAAAUUAAAGAACAAAAAUAAUACUCUCUUAAUACUUUUUCUUUUUGCUCAAAAAUCCAUCGCCAUUCCAUCAGUUGCAAACUAGCAAUCAUCUACCAAACUCAAAUAGCCAUUCCUUUGAAAUCAAGUUCCCUCAACCAGUCACACUCCCACCUCACCUUGUAACUCAAUUCACUUCUCAUGACAGUUCCUUCUUACUCGACUCUAGUUCUAAAUAAAAAAUAUACCUCUAAAUCCCAUACUUGCCUUUAAGGACCCCGUACGUAGAUGUGAGGUUUUAUCACAAAAUGCUUGGAUUUUAUUUUAACACAAGCUUUGUAUCCAAUACUUGUUUUAGUGUCUAUGAGCUCGUUUGAUACAUAUGAUUGGAUUGGAAUGGAGAAUCGUGUUCCCGGCACAUAGAAAAAUAUCUUCUCCCCACACCUCAUCAAUUAAUAAUUCUUACCAGAACAAAGUCUACUCCGCAUAAAUUAUGGGGUUAAUGAAACAUCCACAAGAAUCUUUCAAAAAAUUGUCAGCUACUCAAAACGGUUCAUAAUUAGACCGCAGUAUUUGAUUCACCAAACUGCCCAAACGCAUUAUUAUUGUAGUGGAAGUACACACUUAUAAUUUGUAUACUAUUUUGUCAAGGUUUUGACGUGAGAUUUUACAUUCUUCAACACAAAGAAGGCGCGGGAAAAUGUUAGGAUUAAGGCGGUCCAUUAAUUCAAAUCACCUCAAAAUGUUCACAAAAACAUACUUACAAUAGUAAGCAGUUGGGGUUCAAAUUCCUCCAGCAAAAGGGCGUAAUAGAAAGCUUUACAAGUUGUCAAACUAAUAGCAAAUAUAUCCCUUUUUCUUAAUAAAAUGUGGUUCCCAUGAAAUUAAAAUAAACCCUAUAGUUAUUUGUGGAUGAGGAAAUACAAGAAUAGUUGGUUGAUCUUUCUUAAUCCAUUUCACCUUCUGCAGAAACAUUUGAACUAACAAAUAAGCCAAAGGUUUCAUUUCUUAGAGAGCAAACACCAACAUUUCAUGUCCUCGAUAUAUAUAAAACAUGUUUUAUGACCUGCAGGAAGAAUCACGGUUCAAAAGGUUAACAACACAAUGAAUUGGAACCUCUUGCGUCCUGAGUAUGCAACAUGGCAACCCGAAUGGACUGAGGAAGAAAUCCGAUCAACAUUCUUCAAAUGCACAAAAUGGCAGGUGGAAGAAACGUUGGAUCCAAUCAACUGCCCUUACCACUACUACUGUACCAGUUCUUAUGCCGGAAACUAUUCGCAGGCUGUGGAUUUUCUGCUUCUGUUCUUUGCAGCAGCUUCAUACUUGGCAACCCUAGUCUUUAUGGUAAUGCACGUAUCAGGAAAGGGCCAAAAAAGUAUUCAGUCAAAAAGAUAUUUGCUCCCGUCCGGUCCGGUUGCCCUUCCAUUGAUCAUCUUGGCCUUAGCCUACGGCCACCGGAUCAACUCCGCCUUUCCUCUCUCAUGCACUGGCCCGGCAAUCCUCAUUCUCGUUCUGAUAUCUGCGCUGACCUUCGACAAUGGAGCCCAGUCAGACUUCAAGUACGU